UGUCGCGAUCGAGUACGAAAUAACGCUGCACACAAGUGCGAAACGGCGCCCAAAUAUCGCUAUUGUCCGAAAACCUAUUGGAGCCCACAGGGAGCGACCAUGUUUAGCCUCCACGUCUUCGCCCAAACGACACCUCCAGCACAUCGUACCACGGGCCCCGUUACCAUGGAACGCAGAAGUAGAAUUCCUUUCGAGAGUUUCGAAGAUUCGAUCACGACCGCCUCGCAAUGGGUGUCGAGAAAGAUGGGAAGGAGGGGAGAUCGCUUCGAUCGAUGGUAAUACUGUGAUCUUUCGAUAGCACGGAAAGGGAGGAGAUGGAGGAUAGAGAGGCGGAGGUUCCACCUCUCAAGUUUGGCAUGGUGGCGGAGGAAAUCUACCGCUCGGGAUUCCCCACAGCCACCGAUUUCGGCUCCUUGGAAGAACUGAUUAUCCGAACCAGGUUCUUGUGCCUGGAGCCUCACCCGGAGAAUAUAAUUCGCUUCCCUGGAUUCGUCUGUUCCUGUUCGGAAUCGAAGGUAGCAAUGUAAGCAUUUUCUUUGUGCUUCUAAUGUAAUUAUGUCUAGAAAUCGUUCCCUUGUCAAUUUGAUCUGGAAAUUCUUUUGAAUGUUUGUGGUUGAUGCACCUUUUUCACUUUCUUUCUUAAAUUUCUGGAUUUUUAUAUAAACGCAUAUCAAUUUUCAA